rnacentral:rRNA from 1 species
CUAACGAAUUUCCAGGUGAACCUGCGGAAGGAUCAUUA